CUACUUAAAAUAUCUAGACUACCCUUAAACACCCCUGAAGUUACCGACCUUCCCAACCUUGGUUAACCCCAACCCUUUUUACCCUAGUUAAAAACUUAACCACAGUUAUCUAAACAACUAUAAUCAAUCCCACAAACAAGCAAUACGACCCAAAUUCAAUUCCAGAAGAGCGUCAGUCAAAAUCAAAACAAGGUCGCAAAUCAGUAUCUUAUUGGAAAAAAAUGAGAAUAUUAAUUAAGCUAACGACUAAUUAACGAUUGAACAUUCAAGCUAACAACGAAUCAAAAACAACUUAAAAUUUGAACAAAAGACUAACACUGGCCUAAGAUGAAUUAACCAAUCAAUUAGAACAAUUAAAAGAUGAACUCAGGUUUUAAUCUAGAAACUAAACUCAUUCGACUGAACUAAACUAAAUGACGAAACAAAUUGAAAGCUAAAGAAGGAAGAACUUACUGAAUUAAGACCUUGAAUAAAAAAACCUUCGAAAUUAACUUCGUGUUAGUGUUACAGGUUCAUAUCACAGGAAAUAAACUCAUAACGUUAACCCGAGUUAACUCGCCUUUGAAAAUCUUCGAAACAGCCUUAAACUGGGUGAACAUAGCUCCGCAAUUCGUCCAGUUUACUAAGACUCGAGUGAUUCUGGGCAGGCAUUAGUGAUGAGGAAAGGACGCCGACCAUCUGGUGUGAUUUUGGGCUCAAUGGGGCCAACUUGUGACUUGGCCGGAAAACCUUCGAUGGGAUAUUCGACGAGGUUGGCUCUGAUUUGAAGGAAUCCAUUGUGGGGUUCGGGAAGAGGAGAAGAAGGAGCUUCAAUGGUGUUAAUUGUGGGUUGAUUAGCGUAUGCGGCGUUUCCUGGCGGUGAGUUCUCUAGUGGAGUUGCAGAGGGAGAUACGAUGAGGAUGAAGUUGUCUCUAGGGUUUGGAAAAUUUCGGACACUAUUAUGAAAAUUGAAGAACAAAUCCAAACCGUUGGAUUAGAAUGAACGAAUGGCUCAGAUUAGAAUGAACGAAUGGCUCAAAACCUAAAAUUGGCCCUUAGUCC
rnacentral:lncRNA from 1 species